GACGAACGCUGGCGGCGUGCUUAAUACAUGCAAGUCGAGCGAGGUUACUGUUUCGGAUCCCUUCGGGGUGAAGAAGCUUUAACCUAGCGGCGGACGGGUGAGUAACGCGUGGGUAACCUACCCCAAAGUCCGGGAUAACAGCGGGAAACCGCUGCUAAUACCGGAUGUCUUUACCUUGGGGCAUCUUGAGGUAAAGAAAGGUAACGCUUUGGGAUGGGCCCGCGUCCCAUUAGCUAGUUGGUGAGGUAACGGCUCACCAAGGCGACGAUGGGUAGCCGGCCUGAGAGGGUGGACGGCCACACUGGGACUGAGACACGGCCCAGACUCCUACGGGAGGCAGCAGUAGGGAAUAUUGCGCAAUGGACGGAAGUCUGACGCAGCGACGCCGCGUGAGCGAUGAAGGUCUUCGGAUCGUAAAGCUCUGUCCUUGGGGAAGAAGGUCUUCGGACUUGACGGUACCCAAGAAGAAAGCCCCGGCUAACUACGUGCCAGCAGCCGCGGUAAUACGUAGGGGGCGAGCGUUGUCCGGAAUUACUGGGCGUAAGGGUGCGUAGGCGGCCCUUUAAGUCGGAUGUGAAAGCCCGCGGCUUAACCGCGGAAUGGCAUUCGAAACUGGAGGGCUUGAGUGUCGGAGAGGGUAGUGGAAUUCCCAGUGUAGCGGUGAAAUGCGUAGAUAUUGGGGAGGAACACCAGUGGCGAAGGCGACUACCUGGACGAUAACUGACGCUGAGGCACGAAAGCUAGGGGAGCAAACAGG
rnacentral:rRNA from 1 species